GCACCUGUAGCUCAAUUGGAUAGAGCGGCUGGCUUCGGACCAGUAGGUUGCGGGUUCAAAUCCUGCCGGGUGCACCA
rnacentral:tRNA from 3 species